rnacentral:rRNA from 1 species
UACGGAGGGUGCAAGCAUUGAUCGGAAUUACUGGGCGUAAAGGGCGCGUAGGCGGUCAGGAAAGUCAGAUGUGAAAUUCUGGGGCUCAACCCCAGAGCUGCAUUUGAAACUGUCUGGCUCGAGUUCAGUUAGGGUAAACGGAAUUCCACGUGUAGCGGUGAAAUGCGUAGAUAUGUGGAAGAACACCGGUGGUGAAGACGGUUUACUGGGCUGAUACUGACGCUGAGGCGCGAAAGCAUGGGGAGCAAACAGG